GGCUAGAAACACCUGCCGAGCCCCCAAAGGUUCCUACCCUAUAUAGGCUGACCCGCCCAUCAAUCAGAUGCUGCCAUACAUCAUAAAUCGGCUCUUACAGGUAGUGUGUCUAUGUGUACAUCUCAAUAUUAAUGUGUCUAUGUGUACAUCUCAAUAUUAAUGUGUAUAUGUAUACAUCUCAAUAUUAAUGUGUAUAUGUGUACAUCUCAAUAUUAAUGAUCUAUGUGUACAUCUCAAUAUUAAUGAUCUAUGUGUACAUGUCUCAACACAUCUCAUUUAUCUAUUUAAUCACUCCUCUCUCUCCCCCUCCACACUCCCAUGUAUCCAUGAUGUAUGGUAAACGUGUGACAGGACUAAAAUUGGCAAAUAAGUGGACUUGUUUACAACAACACAAAGGCUACAGGACUCUCAUUCAUCCGUCAUGAGUCAACAGCGGCGCGUCAAUGAGGGUUUCCGGAAAAAAAUGCCUCAGUGGCUUAAAGCGUUUGCUUAGUCUCUACGUUCAAAGUCAAAACUGUUUUUCUUAUACCGGCUAGAAACACCUGCCGAGCCCCCAAAGGUUCCUACCCUAUAUAGGCUGACCCGCCCAUCAAUCAGAUGCUGCCAUACAUCAUAAAUCGGCUCUUACAGGUAGUGUGUCUAUGUGUACAUCUCAAUAUUAAUGUGUCUAUGUGAACAUCUCAAUAUUAAUGAUCUAUGUGUACAUCUCAAUAUUAAUAAUCUAUGUGUACAUAUAAAUUGUUAUGAUCUUUGGGUAUCUAAAUGUUAAGGUGUGUCUAAAUAUUUAUGAUCUAAGGCCGGCUCCCAGCCGCCGUCCUCCUCUUCUUCAUCAAAUUCGCCUUCCAUUUAACAACAGUCAACCAGUUCGUAUGUAUUUUACCCGGGCAGACAGCUAUGUUCUGAAAGUUUAUACUAACCUUUCAGAGAAAAUGUUUGUGUCCACGAGCUUAUGUUAGCCUCGCAGAAUUAAUUUAUGCUGAAAGUUUAUACUAACCUUUCAGAGAAAAUGUUUGUUUCCACGAGCUUAUGUUAGCCUCGCAGAAUUAAUUU
ensembl:lncRNA